AAGAGCAUGGAUACUUAACUCGUCCUUGAACAAAGAGCAACAUUUGGCAUCCUAUGAAGGCCGGGAACAUCUGGUAUUACAAAGGAAGGACUUAUGGACCUUAAUAGCCCGCAGUUGGGUCAACAGCACGGUCAUUCAAUGGAUGUGUUACCCUUCAACGACACCGAAUCAUCUAUAUUCAAGCGAGAUUUCUAUUGCGUGUGUCCAGGGAUAUUAGUAAUUACACUCUACUGAUUACAAUAUGUGUUAGAUUUUUUAAGGAUUCUUACUAGUUGUGGGUUUGCAGGAAUCAGUCACAUGAAAUGAUAAUCUGGCAUCAUUCAUUGACGGUGCAAGUCCAAUAUAUGUGGGGCUUGGUCCAAGCUUUGGUGAGAAUAAUAGGUUCUUUGACAAAGUCGAAGCUGAAAAGAGAAAAUAGUCGUUAAUUCUUAAUUGUUGGAGGAGCCAUUGGUGGGUAUAUGCAUUUGAGGUGAAUGCGAAUCGCCUAGUGAUAAUCGACAGUUUGCAUUCUGUACCACAAGUUGAUGAACGGGAUAAUCUCGAUGCAUAUGUGGGGAGACUGUUUGAGGACAUGGUGAGAAUUAUAAUUCCUGCAUUCGUCCGGACUACAUACGGCCCAUUUCGUUCUUAUGCCAGGGUCCCAAAGCAACCGAACAACUUUGAUUGUGGCAUAUGUGUUAUUAAGUUCAUGGAAAGUUAGGCCGAAGAAUGUGCUCUUAAUGAAUGGGACGAGGUGACUACAAUAAACUUUUGGGCAUAUAUCACGCGUCAAUUUGAACAUAUAUCACUGUAACAGUUCUUACUCCUAGCUCGUCUAGCAAAUCUAUUUACAGGAUUCACUCUAAUCAUACAAGAUGGAGUUGAUACUAGACAUUGUCUGUGGGCCACAUAAUGCAUUGGUUGACCAGGUUCUUGCAUUAUUGAAGGACAAGGUUGAACCUGUAUGGCGUAAUCAACCACGGAAUAAGAGAAAAGAAGUUAGAUCACCAUUCACUGCACCUAGCACGAGGACAUUGAUAGAACGUGCGGAAGGAUUACCAAAGGGGAGGAUAAUCAAAGAGGGGGAAGAAGUAGCGUUCCUAGGUUUAACUACUGUGAAUUUAAUUACCAUAUGAUAUUUAGCUUACUUUCUGCUUAGAUUCUUGGGGAUUUAUUUAUGAUAUAUUUUAAGGACUUGUUUCCAGUAGAUUUUUUUUAAAUAAACUUCUAUGAAUCUGUUGGUGUAAAGUUGU